UUCCAGACUCCUACGGGAGGCAGCAGUGGGGAAUAUUGCACAAUGGGGGAAACCCUGAUGCAGCGACGCCGCGUGAGCGAUGAAGUAUUUCGGUAUGUAAAGCUCUAUCAGCAGGGAAGAAGAUGACGGUACCUGACUAAGAAGCCCCGGCUAACUACGUGCCAGCAGCCGCGGUAAUACGUAGGGGGCAAGCGUUAUCCGGAUUUACUGGGUGUAAAGGGAGCGUAGACGGCGAUGCAAGCCAGAUGUGAAAGCCCGGGGCUCAACCCCGGGACUGCAUUUGGAACUGUGUGGCUGGAGUGUCGGAGAGGCAGGCGGAAUUCCUAGUGUAGCGGUGAAAUGCGUAGAUAUUAGGAGGAACACCAGUGGCGAAGGCGGUCUGCUGGACAGCAACUGACGGUGAGGCGCGAAAGCGUGGGGAGCAAACAGGAUUAGAUACCCCAGUA
rnacentral:rRNA from 1 species